AGCUYCAUUUUAACGCGAAARGCCUUACCUGGGCUUGACAUGUGCCUGAUCGGCGUGGAAACACGUCUUSCCUCACGGGCAGGUUCACAGGUGGUGCAUGGCUGUCGUCAGCUCGUGUCGUGAGAUGUUGGGUUAAGUCCCGCAACGAGCGCAACCCCCGUCGUAUGUUGCCAGCAUUUAGUUGGGGACUCAUGCGAGACUGCCGGUGGCAAACCGGAGGAAGGUGGGGAUGACGUCAAGUCAUCAUGCCCCUUAUGUYCAGGGCUACACACGUGCUACAUUGGCGUAUACAAAGGGUUGCGAUACCGCGAGGUGGAG
rnacentral:rRNA from 1 species